rnacentral:rRNA from 1 species
GCUGGAAUUGCUAGUAAUGGCAGGUCAGCAUACUGCUGUGAAUACGUUCCCGGGCCCUUGUACACACCGCCCGUCACACCAUGAGAGUUGGAAAUACCCGAAGCCUGUGAGCUAACUGUAAAGAGGCAGCAGUCGAAGGUAGAGCCAAUGAUUGGGUGAAGUCGUAACAAGGUACC